GUGGUCCUGGUGUAGCGGCUGCACACGAGUCCGUGAAUCUCUAGGUUCGGGUUCGACUCCCGAGGAUCACCC
rnacentral:tRNA from 1 species